rnacentral:rRNA from 1 species
UAGGGAAUAUUGGACAAUGGGUGAGAGCCUGAUCCAGCCAUGCCGCGUGCAGGAAGAAGGCGUUAUGCGUUGUAAACUGCUUUUUGCCAGGGGAUAAAAUGACCGUGCGCGGUUAAUUGAAGGUACCUGGAGAAUAAGCCCCGGCAAACUUCGUGCCAGCAGCCGCGGUAAUACGAAGGGGGCUAGCGUUGUUCGGAAUUACUGGGCGUAAAGCGCACGUAGGCGGAUUGUUAAGUCAGAGGUGAAAUCCCGGAGCUCAACUUCGGAACUGCCUUUGAUACAGCACGUCUUGAGUCCGAUAGAGGUGGGUGGAAUUCCUAGUGUAGAGGUGAAAUUCGUAGAUAUUAGGAAGAACACCUGAGGCGAAGGCGGGUUGCUGGGCUGAUACUGACGCUGAAGCGCGAAAGCUAGGGUAGCAAACGGGAUUAGAUACCCCCGUAGUCCCUGAGCGGGCUGGCAAGGCGCAU